rnacentral:rRNA from 1 species
AUGACUCAUGGUUUCAUUACGAGGUUUAUAGCCGACCACGGUAUUGUUAAGGAGAAUAACCAGAGGGGGGCAGGGAGAGUCGCUCCACACAAUCAGGUGCAUACACGGCCAAGGAAGCCACCAACGGGACACUUCAAGAUACAUGUGGAUGCGGGUGUGCGGGGUAGAAGUGGAGGCUCUGCUGCGGCUGUUUGCAGAGAUGAAGAAGGAAAUUACCUGGGUAGCUCCGCUCUUGUUGUUGAGGGGGUCACAGACCCAGCCUCUCUUGAAGCGAUGACUUGUCGGGAGGCCUUGGCCCUUGCAGAGGAUCUCGGAAUCCAAAACCUUGUGGUGGCAUCGGAUUGCCAACAGGUGGCCUCUGACAUCAACAAAAAUGCUAAGGGCAUGUAUGGAGCAAUUGUUAGCGAGAUCAAUCUUAGAGCAUUUUCUUUUCAAUGUACUUUUGUGUUUGAGAGUUGUGCGUCGAAGCACACCGAUUAG